rnacentral:misc_RNA from 1 species
GUAGGUGAACCUGCGGAAGGAUCAUUAACACUUUUUAAUGAGCAUCCAAAACCUUUUUUGGAUCAACCCAACCAUAUUGCGAACCAAUUUUCUAAUUUUACAAUUUACAAUUUAUUAAACUCUUACCAUUUUAUUUUAAUUUGUGUCUGACAACUUCUUUUCUGGUUUGUUUGUUUGUUUUAACCGACAAAAUAAACUGACUGAAAAUAAAAAUCUAACGCAAUACAACUCUUAACAACGGAUAUCUUGGCUCUC